UAUAAGACUGGGAUAACUUCGGGAAACCGGAGCUAAUGCCGGAUAACAUUUGGAACCGCAUGGUUCUAAAGUAAAAGAUGGUUUUGCUAUCACUUAUAGAUGGACCCGCGCCGUAUUAGCUAGUUGGUAAGGUAACGGCUUACCAAGGCAACGAUACGUAGCCGACCUGAGAGGGUGAUCGGCCACACUGGAACUGAGACACGGUCCAGACUCCUACGGGAGGCAGCAGUAGGGAAUCUUCCGCAAUGGACGAAAGUCUGACGGAGCAACGCCGCGUGAGUGAUGAAGGUUUUCGGAUCGUAAAACUCUGUUAUUAGGGAAGAACAAAUGUGUAAGUAACUGUGCACAUCUUGACGGUACCUAAUCAGAAAGCCACGGCUAACUACGUGCCAGCAGCCGCGGUAAUACGUAGGUGGCAAGCGUUAUCCGGAAUUAUUGGGCGUAAAGCGCGCGUAGGCGGUUUCUUAAGUCUGAUGUGAAAGCCCACGGCUCAACCGUGGAGGGUCAUUGGAAACUGGGAAACUUGAGUACAGAAGAGGAAAGUGGAAUUCCAUGUGUAGCGGUGAAAUGCGCAGAGAUAUGGAGGAACACCAGUGGCGAAGGCGACUUUCUGGUCUGUAACUGACGCUGAUGUGCGAAAGCGUGGGGAUCAAACAGGAUUAGAUACCCUGGUAGUCCACGCCGUAAACGAUGAGUGCUAAGUGUUAGGGGGUUUCCGCCCCUUAAUGCUGCAGCUAAC
rnacentral:rRNA from 1 species